rnacentral:rRNA from 1 species
UACGAAGGGUGCAAGCGUUACUCGGAAUUACUGGGCGUAAAGCGCACGUAGGCGGCUUUUUAAGUCAGGGGUGAAAUCCUGGAGCUCAACUCCAGAACUGCCUUUGAUACUGAGAAGCUUGAGUCCGGGAGAGGUGAGUGGAACUGCGAGUGUAGAGGUGAAAUUCGUAGAUAUUCGCAAGAACACCAGUGGCGAAGGCGGCUCACUGGCCCGGUACUGACGCUGAGGUGCGAAAGCGUGGGGAGCAAACAGG